CUAUACUCCAGCCGUCCUUGGGCCUCCUCCUGCCUGCAGCUCGGCGUGUUGCACAGGGAUGCGGUGAUCCUCCUGUGGCCCUGAACCUCAGCCAGGACAGGACGUCUCUGAGCCACCGCCUGAAAAAAUACAUUUCCCAGAGGUACACGCUACAUUCCCAGACAACCACGAGAUAGAACAAUAGCAAGGUUGCAGUGUCUUUGACCUCUUCUGUGUAUAUCAUCAUCAGCAGGUGAGUGACCCCGUGUGUUUCAUGCCUGCUGAACUUCCUGUACACAGGCUUGUAAACGGUUUGUCCCUGAAUCUUGUAUAAGCCAUUUGUCUUGCCGUCCCGCCUCUGUUGUGGGGCGCAGCAGCAGGUUAAUAUCCCACCUCCUGCAAUGAAACACCAUUAAUUUUAUUCCUCAUCUCAGUUUGCAAAGUAUCCCUCUAAACAGCAGCCAACUUGAUCUAAUUCCUAAUGACUGUUGUGAGUGCUGACUCGGCUAUUGUAAAACAAAUGAUAUCUCUGUCCUGUUGGAAUAAUCCUAAUCUAUUUCAAUAGAAGGGGCUGCUUUAAAGUGACAAUGGGGGAGGAUAUUUCCAUCUCAUGAUAAAUGUGCAUAUGUCCACCAAAGCUGAAUCAGACACCACAUUUUAAUAGCCUGAUUGCUGGUUCAUUUCUUGCCUCAUUCUCUAGCAGCCCUGCUCCCUCCUUUUUAAUGCCGAGCUGGUCAUAUUUUGUCCCAGAUUAGUAUAGACGCCAGCUGACAGUUGCCUCUGCUCAAGGUAUUUAGAAGACAUAAUUCAUUCAUAGAUCUAGAAGUGCUCCCAUUUGUCAUCCCCAUUUUUUAUGCUCAGUCUCUCCGCAGUCGCUCAUUCCUCUGGGUGCUCGUGUGUGUGUGUAUGUGUGUGUGUGUGUGUGUGUGCGUGUGUGUGUGUGUGUCAAGGGAUAUGAAGGCCAGGGCAUUUUUCAGCUGAUGUAUUAGCUGGCAUAUGCAAGCGAUGAAUUAUCAAGGAGGGGAAGGAGUCAAUUAUCCACUCCUAAAGAGGGGCCGGGGCCUCUGUGGCCUAAGGGCCCCUUUCCAUAUUUACCAAAUCAUUUCAAAGGAAGGUACGCUUGGAGACCUGGGGACGAGACAGUGAUCAGACACACAAUCAUGAGCACACACACGAUCAGAUUUGACCCUCCUCAGCUCACCUUGCCCCCUCUCAUCACAACCCCACCCCACACACACACACACACAUGCUCAGUGAUUGCACCGUCUUUGGUUAACAAGGACAGGCUGUGACGUUUUGGCUCCGUGUGUUUAUAUUAAUCCAUUUUUACAUACAUCAACUUCUCAAACAGAUUUCAGCUGAGCUGGAAUAGCCACGCCGUGACCGUCAGCCAUUUUGCCGUGUCCCACUUCUCUCCCCUGACUCCCCCUGAAUCAAAAUGGGGCCCUGAUUGACUGUGCCGCUCUGACUAAUAGAGUGGAUAUGGUAAAUGAAAUACCCACCACUUUCAUUCCAAAGUCUCUUACCCCCUGUGUCCCCACUCACUUUGCCUUGACAUAUUUUUAGAGAUUGAGCAUCCUAUCCUGUUUCUGACGAGGACGAGGUGAACGUGGCGGCGGCGGCGGCGGCGGUGGCAGUGAUGCCUCUGAGCAGUCGGGACCGUCGGACACGGGCAGCCGAGCUGACAGGCCCCUCUGGUGACUGACAGGGCUGACACUUAGGGAAAUGAGGUCGUUAGACAGCAUUAUGAGUGGGCUGAUAGCUCAGUAAUGGGUUUUAAGUUGGAAUUUAACACAGAAGCCCACCGGGGAUGGGUUUGAUAUGCAGGCGGACAGGUGAGUUCCUCCAGAAUAAGGUGACAACUCUCUCGGGCAAGAGAAAAACAGGCCUUGGAAAAAAAGGGGGAUGUAUAAACAGAAGAAAGAGGAAGGGAAAUGUUUCUAAAAAUAAGGCACACCAGGCAGUGAUCCUCUUUAACACAAAAAAAAGAAGAAGAUGAAGAAGAAGAAGAAGAAGAAGAAGAGGGCUUCAGCAGAUGAGGGACUUUUGUAUUCAGUCUUGGCCUUCACUUCGAGAGAGUUUCACUCUCAUCUGAUUGGAAAGAAAUCUCCAUCCAGAUGCUCGUCCCUCAAGAAACUGUUUUAAUCUGUCAACUGCAGAAGGUGCAGAUUCCUGAAACAAUGAACACUUUCCCCCCAUUGUUAUGUUUCUGAAGGUUUUAUAAUUUUGCACGCUGUAUGCACCGAAGUCUCCAAGCUGCCUUGAGUCUUAAGAGAGAACGUCUAAAUUUAGCACAAAACGAUAAACUCUUAAGUUAUAAGACAUAGGCUAAUGCGUAAGGGUGUUAAAACCAGUGGGAUAGUUUAGUGGAGAUUAAGGGACGUAUCAAAGACUCGUGUAAAGCUUCAUCAGGAGCUGUGCGGUUGUUUGGUGGGCAUCUGCACAUGCUUUAAAGGAAAAAAAAGAGGGCAGGAGCAGCUCAUAGAGCUUUGGCAGUCAGUGAGUGACUGAUAAUGUCUCAACAUCACUCCCAUUACUCCUUUUGGCUGUGCUGUGAAAACGAAUGGUCCACUUUACUGCUGCCGAGGACCCAGUGAGUUCUGUUCAGGAGGAAGAUUUAGAGGCGGCGUUAUGGCCGUCCAGCGGAGGGUAGGACAAGCCACAGGAGAGGAUGAAAUGGAUGAGGUCGGCCCGAAUGAUGGCGGGAGUUUCAUUCGUUUCCUGGUCUUAGUUUGUGGGAGAUGAAUCAUACUUGGUGAAAGAGUGAGAGGGUGAUAGAGGGGAAGAAAAAAGGUCAGAUUUCUGUGUCAGGAUUUUUCAGUAGAGUAGAUGAGGAGGGCUGGCAAUACAAAUCAAGUCGAGAAGCUUCACAAUGUGUUUCGCCUCCGUGUCCUGCAGGCAUCUUUUUUUACAGCACCCUGGAGAAUACACACCAAACUCAACCUCAUCAGAACAGCCCGACUGGUCAAGGAGUGAUUUCUGGGUUAUUAGAUGAAGACUUGUAUGUGUGCGCGUGUGUGUGUGUGUACACUCGUAGAAAUCACACCUGUUUAUUCCUGAGUGUUAAGUAUCUUUCACAAGCUGCUGCUGCUUUAAUCAGCAUCUGUCAGGGAAUUCAUUAUUCUGAAGUGAACAUAAAGCCUCUCUUCAGAGUUGUGAAAAGAAAAAAAAAACAGAAUAAUAACAGCCCUUUUCGCUACCAGAGGUGUGGAUGAUCGCUGCAGUGGGCUUAAGUGACAGGUAAAUUGCAGGUUAAGUGGAGAACACCGUCUUUUAACAAGAGACUCCAGGCUCCUGCAAAUCCUCCUUAGUCUUUAAUCUGAAUACAAAAGGCAGGGGCGGGGGGAUUAAAUCUGACCCCUCAAUGUUCUGUUUGUUCCAGGCUCCACUCGAGGGCCUGCUGCAGCCAGCAGAGGAGCCCCAGGUUUGCGUUUCCUUUUGUGCCAUGUGACAGCAUUUAAAAACAACAGCAUCCACAAUGCUGCCUCUUCAGUGGCUAAAUUCCUCGGGACAAAAGAAGGGCCAAGAGUCGCCGGCUUUCCCCUAUCACAUCCACUUUUAUCAAGCUGGAGAGAAAGAUGUAGUUUUGUAUUCUUUUAGAGGAAACUGUUUAUUUAAUUUUGGCUGAAGCACGACGACGCUGCAUCAUUAUCGCUGUGUGCAACAGAGGAAAAACAAGUCAUUCUUUAUUUAGCAGCAGCGACGGUUAAAAAGAAGGGAAGGGGCCGGGGUGAGGCAGGCGGUUAGGGCUUGCAGAGAGAAAGGCGCUUUGGGUUGUCAACGUUUUAGAGGCUUAGAGUCAAACCUAUCCGGGCUCAGGAGAGAGGAGUCUGGGUGUUAGGCAGGCAGAAUGACUCCUGAUAGAAGGAGUUUGCGGCUCAAGUCGAGAGGAAUCGUCUUGGCUCCCGGAUGAGGCGAGGACUAAUUGAUUCUCUGAAGUUUCCUGUCGCAGAGCCCGAUUACAGGUAUGACCGGAUUAAAAAAGGAGAGGGAAAAAAACAAGGGAUCUGGAGGAGGGAAAUGGUAAAAAUCAAAGAGAAAAGAAGAUGAGGGCUGCCAUAGACGGAUCAGCAUUGCUUAUACGCGCUGAUGUGCUUGCUUUUGUGUGAAUUUUGUUUGUGUAUGCGUGUGUACGGGUAUGUUCGUGUGUACACGCCGGUGCAGCUGUGUUUGAUCUCUAUACUCAGUGGCAAUCAUCAGGUCACAUUGCUAGGCCCCUUUCACUUUGGUGCUGCAGAGGAACACAUCGUGUUGUAGCAGCAUGCUUCCCCUAAUCACUCACUUCUGGUUAACACGUCUCAAAGCCAGAGGCAUGUGUCUCGCCUGCCCAUAACAGUCCAUGACAAGAUUGAGUACAGAGGCCCGUGGGAGCCAUAGUGAGGCGGGCUCUAGGAGAGAAGCCUCCAGGAGAAGGAGAGUUAGGACGCAUAUCUAGACCUAAGCUGUCAUGCGUGCGGCUGUAAUGGCUUGUUUAGUGGCAAAGUCCAAUCUAGGGCCCCAGAGAGCCAUUAUUCCUGGAGUAUCGAUCGGGCCCUACGGCCACCACAGCUCGGGCCCCUGUCCCUGAUCCUGUUCAGUAAUAAGCGUACUCAUGUCAAGGUGGUAAUUAUCAUUGAUCUGUAGCUGCUGUGACAGGGCAGCGGCCCCUUGCCAUGAUUCAUACCCGGCAUGGGGCUACUGGACUUCAGGCACCAAAUCACCAACCUCAUAGAAGUAGGCAUCGUGUGGUGGCAGUGCCAAGCCCAGUCCAGGAAACAAAAGUUUACAAAGAUAGAUCUCUGUUUCCUGUUUUUUUUUUUACAUGCAGGUGGCAGUUUUGAAACAGCCAAAUAACUAACGGGGGAGUUUUGUGGGCAUGUUGUCUUAAACCAUAAAUUACCAGAACAAACUCUGAUCUCUUCUCAAUUAGGCAGAGAGGGAGUGUGUAGAAAGUUGAAAUUACUUUCUUUCGUUGUUCCUUGUCCUCUCGAUGUCCUUCCCCUUUGUUGACUAGGGUGCCCCAUCUCUUAGGAGUUAUAAGCACAGAUAUCACUGUUGAUCUGCCUGUAUGUGGUAACCUGUGGGGCAUUAAAUGACCAGAAUAACUUGAUGUUUUUGUGAAUGUUUUUUUAGUAUUAACGCAUUCACUCACAAUCUACAUAAUAAUAAUAACUCGAAAAUUCCCUCUGGGAAAUUUUGAAGGGCCACAGGGGCAACUGCCGGGGUGAGUACAUUAUCAUAAGAUCCUUCAGGGAUUUCAAAUAAUUCAUACUAGUAGCGUUGUGAUAUUACUUACAAAAUCACAGUGAGAUUUUAUAGACACCAUGGUCCCCAAAGGGUGUAAAAACAGUUGCCAACCUCUGUAUUGAUCAUUGUUUUAAAUUGAGAUGGUCAUGGUCCCAAGAGAAUAAGAUACAAUAAGAAGAACUUUAUUGAUCCGACAAAAGGGAAUUCAUUUGUCUCUAAUCUCAUGUGUCAUGUCAUCUACUAUUUGCAGAAGAAUUAAACAGUUUGAUGGUUGUGGGUACAAAAGAUCUUCUUAAUCUUUUUGUCCUGCAGCGAGGUGAGAGGAGCCGUCCACCACCAACAUUUUUUGGUAACCCCUUGCUUGUCAACUAGCAAUCAAAUAGCCUAAUUAUUCACUUAGUGGAUAAAAUACUAAGGACAUACACUUGCCGUAAUUGCAGAAAAUGUGCCGAACAUUUAUUGUCCCCAUAUGAUGUAUCCCUGAGGACUUUGCUGAUUUCUUGACCCAACAACCUCAUAGGUUGGAGUGAAAUAUCUCAACAACUGUAGGAUGCAAUGUGGUAAAAUUCAGCCCAUCGAUUCUUGAGAUUCGUGAUGAAUUGUUCACAUGUGAGCAGCAAAUGUUUCAGCCUGAUAUUUGUGUGAAGAGCAAGAUUCAGAUUCAGAUUCAGAUUCAGACAACUUUAUUAAUCCCCAAAGGGCAAUUCACUUCACAGUAACCCACCUCAUUGUUAAAUGAUCAAAGAACAGACAAAUACCAGACAUUCACAGCAGCAUACAACCCAAACAUUCCCUGUGAGCACCACAAAUCAGCAAUAAAUAAAUAACUAGAUAAUAAAAAUGUGCAAAACGUUCAACUGUGAAAUGACUGAAAUGCAAUAAGAAAUAAUGCGAUACAAAGAGUAAAAUAAGAACGAAAACAAUCCUGAGACCUCAAUUUCAACAACCCAAAAUCCAACACAGGCCACCAAUCCGCUACUUCUCAGCAUUUAGCAAUCUGAUCGCUGAGGGGAUAAAUGAGUUGGAGUACAUAUUCGUUUUUCUCAACAUCCACAGAUAGUUGGUGAAAAAUACUUCCACUCUUCCACUCUUCCAUGGUAGCCAUAGACCUUUAAAAAUAACUAAUUUCAACACAAAAAAUACACACUGGGUAGCCAAAAGUUAACAAGACAAACCAAACUGAACCAAACAGCCGAGUGAACGGUGGGCUUUACUGGCCCACCUUUCAUUGGGCUAUCUCUGAUUGGAUCUAAUUGUGUGACACGCUCACAGUUAGCCCUCCUCUUGAACAGGAUUGACAGAGUAAAUUGAGGACAGGAGAGCAGAGAUAGUCGGGAGACAGAGAAGUAGACGGACCAACACAGAAGUAAAGAGAUGGUGGGGGUUUCAAGGCAGGCAAUCAGUUUUCUUUUUGUGAGCACUGGAGCGGGACUUGUGUCACCUGCAGACCAAACCCCAUUUCCUCUGAUUAAGUCCUUUGAAAUAUUCCAUUUGUCAGUGUCACGGCCCUGGCGUGUUGCUGCGGCGAGCAGCCAGCCGUGUCUGUUGACUGUGUCAUUCUCCAAUUUACAUCAGACACUGACAACAUCAUCAUGUCCCUAAUGUCCCCUCGGCUUGCUCUUGCUCAACCCUUUGCCCGUGUAUUUGAUUUCUCUGUUUUUUUGUCCCCACUGAUACACAAAUCAUCGUUCCUCCUCCUCCUCUGUUUCUCAGCUAAAUGAGAGCUAUCUGGUGAUGUCCGGAUCUAGCCGUGAUUCUCUUGGCAAAGUGAAACUGAAACUGAGAUCUGGAGACCCAACAAAGUUUUCUUCCUCAAGAUUUUUUUUUUUGUUUGUCUGUUUGUGUCUGGAGUACCAACAACUAACAUCACUCAGGCCUCAAACUCUCAUGCAUGUGAUCUAACCCCAUUAGCAUCCAAUGUCUUUCCAGGAGCAGAGCUGGCAUGGUUCAGAGAGGAUGGAAAUUUCAAUCUCCUCUCUAUCAUUUUCCCUAUCAUUACUCCAUUCACAGCCAUUUCUCUCCUUCCUGAGUCCCGAGAGGGAACAGAGCGGCUGAAAAAGGAGGGCACCGUGCACUCAGAGCCCAACUUUAAUAUGAGCGGAGGAAAAAAAGAUAGAGCGGGGGUGUUUAUACAUUAUUAGGAGUCUAUUAUAAAGCUGCUAUCAUAUUCUCCCUCUUCUCUCCCUCUUCCUUUCAUUCCCUCACUCUCCUGACAGGUAGCGAGCGGGCCGCCUUGAUGACUAGACUCAAUCACCUGUGACAGUUUUGAUUUGAUGUCACUCUCUGGGUCGCUCUAUUUGUUUGAGCAGUUAAGAGGUAAUUGUGUGACAUUGGCGGGAGAAGACGUGCUUUGGCGGCGCACCCGCUGAACCGAAGGGACGAGACGAGGGAGUGUGGCAAUAAUAAAUGAGGGCUAUUUUCCCCAGCAUUCCCAGACUGUGUGUAUGAGUGUGUCAGGGUAUGUAUUACAGGGGGUGUGCGUGUCUGUGUUUAGCUGAUGGGGGGGAACAAGAAGGGGUGAUGAGCCCCUCUACCCCUGAGGGAAUUCAACUGUGAGAUGCACAUUGAGGUCGCCAGCAUCCACUCUGAUCAUCACUUUCUUUGGUCUGAACACAAUUGUUUCUGUGCAUGUUUGCUGUUUGUCUAGUUAAGAUGAGUUCAGGUGUCACUCAGGGGAGCCUCUGAUUCCUCAAAAUGUUGACAGGUUGGAACUGAUGAUAUCUUUUUCAUUUAUUUAAUAUUGUAUGUGGACGAUUAUUGUGUAAUUCUGUAAAUGAGAAACCUUUGGCAUGUUUUGUUUCCUGCCUGGUAACCCGUUGUGUUGCUGUUUAUUUAUGUUGUUAGUCCAAGAUAAAGAAUAAUAUCUGAAUGCUUAUCUUUAAUCACUUGCACAAAAAUACUUUGAAGUAACAUGGUGCAGAAGAACCAGUCUGAGGGUCCUUCUGGAGAUUUGUUUUCAUUAGAAUAAGAUGAUGACAAAAGCUACAAGAACACUGGACCUCUAUCUUUUCUAGAAUGUCAGGUUGGCCACACCAUGAGUCGCAGAGCUAUAAUGUUAUGCUCUUAAGGAUAUCAUUGACAUCUCUAACGUGCAAACACCAGGUUGGAAUAGAUCAUUGCCCAUGUAGAGUUUUCAAUCAGAAAGGUAGCUGUUCGUGAGGAAAAAUCUCCUCAAAAAUGUAAAUGUUCUUACAACAACCCUUUCGGUGAACCAAAGUGCUUUACAAUACAUAGAAAAUAAAAAUGAGUAAAUAAAAACAAUAAAAUGACGAUGGCAAUAAAAUAAAGUGCCACCACGCUACUGGGUAUUAAAAGCCAGCAUAAAUAAGUACGUUUUCAAUCGGAUAUGAAAAGGCCCAGGUUGGAAAUAAGUCUCAUUUUGAUGGGGAGCUUCUUCCAGAGCCUGGGACCAGCAACUUAAAAGGCUCGGUCACCCCAGUACUUGUGUUUUGACCUGGGCACCUCCAGUAGAAGUAGAUUUGAUGACCUCAGAGCUCUACCCAGCUCCUGAACGGUUAAAAGCUCAGUUAAAUAGAUGGGGGCAAGGCCGUUAAGAGCUUUAAAAACAAACAUUAAAAGUUUGAAAUCAACCCUAAAACAGACGGGAAGCCAAUAAAGGAAGCUAAGGACAGGAGUGAUGUGCUCACGUAUGUUAGUGUUAGUUAAAAGACGGGCAAAAGCAUUUUGGACAAGUUGAAGGCGACUAAGAGGUGAUUGGGAGAUGCCAACAUAAAGUGCAUUGAAAUAGUCUAAUCUUGAACUGAUUACAGCAUGGAUGGCUAAAAAAGGUACCAUGCAGCACCAUCCCAGCACCAAAUAUCAAACAGACAAGAGCAUCUAGAUAUUUUCCUUAGGAUGAUGCAAAACCAAAUCUCAAAAUUGAGACUCUAAUUGGGUAGAUUCCCUGAAACAUGUCGCAGACAAACACUUACGUUGCUCCACUUCGACUUUAUGUAAAACUAUUUACACUUAGAAUAAUGAUACAGCGCACCUUGUCUAAGUUCUUCUGAAUCCAUCUUCACAUUAUUGAGUGUGUUGUUUACUUGAAAAAGACAAAUUAAACAAAAUUGAAAAAAAUUGUAUGCUAAAAGUUUUACAGAGCAGAGACAUCAUCUAAAUUUACUCCCUGUACUUUACCACCACUCCACUCAAAUGAUGUAAGGCAUUAUAGCAAAGGCAAAUGACUGACAAACAUUUAGGAGACAUAGUGACACACUUUUAGGUGUUUUGGGGCCAUUUGUUUUACCCAUUAGUCCUUAACAAACCCACUGUUUUUUUAAGAAUAACUUUACUUUAAGGUCUUUGCAGCUGAACCUCCAGUGCAAACAGCAACAGACACAACCCUUACGUUUCAAAGCCACAGAGUAAAUCUGAUAAGGAUUUUGACUAUUGUACAUCUGCAUUGGCUGUAAAGUCCUUACUGCAUUCAGCAACUCUUCAACUCUUCCUGGCUUUGAGUGCCAGAGAUAAUCUAGAAUCCGUCUUUUCUUAUGUAGAGGAAGCAGAGAGAAAAAUCAUGGCUGAAGAUUGCAAAUCUGUGGGCUCCAGCUUUACCCCCUUCCCCCCUCUCUCAGUCCAUUCCCGUACAACAGAGAGGAGGUAUAUGAGGUUAUUUUAGGGAAAAGUGGAGGCUUGACCUGGUCUAAAAAAUCCCAAAGAAUCGGACCCAUUUGCGCUCCUUCCCCUGACCACUUUGCAGCAUCAGGAUAGUCUUUUUGGCAUUAAAGGUGCCAGCAAAAAGGCUUUCCUCCUCUGCAUGUUGAGCUCAUCCAUUUGUUUGUUAUCUCAAUCCCGGAUUUGGAGAGAUACAAAGCUGAUUAAACAACAAAAGCAUAUGGGAAGAUAAAGAACACUUAGGUAAUGGGUUUAGCCUGCCUGUUUAGCACGCCAAAUUCAUCCCCUUUUCUCUUGGCUCAAAAUGCAUUUGUUAUUCUUCUCUCAGCCUUGAUCCAAAAGGAAGAAAAGGAACAAGAAAAGGAGGAAAAACACAAAAAAAAAGGGGGAAGAAGAAGAAGAGGCACAGUGUGACAACCUCGUGAGAGUUUAGGAGUGCAGCAGCAGAGAAAUGUGGCAGGAAGCUGAAGUUUUCUCACUGGUGUUAUAGGACAAUAUAUUGAAAAAUGUGUCUUUGUAGUGACUUUAAUUCUGCUGCUUUCACUACAUAUCAACAGGAAAUAAUAAUAUGUUUAAAUAUAUUAAGAUGAAGAGAGUAUUUUAGGAUUUUAAUGGCUGAAAUAUUUGCCUAAUACAAUAAUUGCCGUACUUUCUGUGUCUAUUUAGUUGUAUGUAAACCAAUACAGAGGCAUCAAAGCCAGCCGUCCUCUCCCCUGGUGAACCUGGCUAAAACCAAUCUGAGGGUUUAGCAGUCACUCUGAUAAUAACACCUUACAGAGGUCAGUGAGCAAUGAGGGGGUCCUGAGGAAAACAUAUUUAUGCUCCUCCUGCUGCUUCCUCCUUAUGGAAAGAAGCCAUGAGAAAGGUGCUUACUUAGACGAGAUAAAGAGCAAGAUGAGAGGCAGCGGACUUGGAUUAGGGAAGGGAGACGAUCACGGCCAGAAAAGGCAGGGAAAAGAGAGAGGGGGGUGGAGGACAGUGAGGCCGGGAGACGGUGUCUGGGCUGGUUGGAUAUGGGGGGAAUAUUAAUCUGGGUUUAGUGUGAGCAGGACCCCACAAACGGCUCAAGCAAACAGAGCUUAGACGAGGCCAAGCCUCGGAGAAAGUCCUAAAUCUUCACAUUAGCUCCCAGCGUUUCUACUGCUGAACCCGUAAGCUCUUUUUCUAAAGGACAGCACAAACAAACCAAACCCCCCCAAUAGUACCUCUUGCCAGUCCUACACUUCCUCUCUCACAAGCAGACACACACACUCACAAAAUCAAGACAGCUUUAAGAAUCGAGAUUGCAGGAAAUUUAUAAAUCCAGGGCCUGAGUGGAUCGGGAGAGAUUAGAUGGGUACCCCUCUUAAAGCGACAGGGUGCCUCCCAAUUGUGGUGCUUAUUCUCCGGUGUGCCCUACUUCUGUGUCAGCGAAGAAAGAGAGCAAGGAGGAACACUUUGAGGGUUUGAAGAGCCUGUGUCAUGAUAACCUUGGCAAACAUUUGAUAAACCAUAACAGAAAGUUUUGUGUUCAGGGAAAGCUUUUCAAUGGGUGGAUUUUUUCUCCUGGAUGUUUCUGGUAUCUGACCCAUUCAGAAAUACACCCAAAUGAUAAAAAAAAGUCCUUUCACAUAAUUUCUUAAGAUAAAAUUGAAAACCAAUAGAUCACUUUGAUGGCAAACCCCCCCAAAGAUUUGAUGUUUCCUUUUGAAAGAAUAUCAUUGAAGCUUUAUUUUUGUACUUUUCCAUCGACUCAUAAAACUUGACUUUUUACAUCCUAAGAAGAGUGUUAAUUAACAGGGAAAAAGUCAACAGAAUAUGAAAGGAAAAAGGACAUAGAGGUAAUAGAGUAAUAUAUCUCAGUAGCUUCAUUUCCUAAAGAAGGUAUCAGACCGUCUUGUCGGUGGAGAGGGGGGCCGAUGAGGGAGAGAGGGAGCGACUCACUGAACCUCAUCCCAUCACCCACAGCUUCCAGGCAGGGAGGGAACCAGGAGAAAGUGCCUUCUCACUGAGUUUCAUUAACCUGACCACAUGUGCCAAAAGCCCUGGUAUUAGAGUUAAUCAAAGUGACUCUGACACACUUGCUGCCAUCUUCUGGGUCACCUGGGAGGCUCAUCCAGAAUCCUGCUGCUCCUCAUGUCGGAGGUACACACGGAGAGCGUGCAUCAUGUUUGCUCGUGUGUGAUUGCAGACAUACACAGUUACUUUACAGCUAACGCACUGAUUGCAACCCUCCUCUGCAACCAUAAGUACAUGAAAUAUCAUGGACGAUGUUCUGGAGCGUGUCCUUCACUAUGAGCUUUACUUUACGGAUGAAUGUUCGAUUGCAUGACUGUGAUUUAAGCAUCAGUCAGGACUUGGAGGAAGCCUUUUGGGUUAUAAUUUUAAUCACUAAAUCAGUUCGAAGUUUGUGCAGAGCCCCUGAAGUCCAGUAAAGGGUGCAAUUUUUUUUGGUGAAGUGGUUGAGUAUGUUGUCUCUUGCCAUGUGUGAUAAGAAUACACUUGUGUGCACGUAAACAUGUUGUGCAAAUACGGUGGUCAGAAGUUUGCACAUUUCAUAUUGUACUCGCAGUUUGAGUAUUUUGUGUGUAUGAAAAGUCAUGUGGGUAAAAAUCAUGAAAUUAAUGACAACAGCUUGAAAACAAACAUUUAAUAAUCACAUACAAUUUAAUAUAUAAAGUAUUUAAGAUAGUCUUUUGUUUAGCUCAAUUGUUUAUUCUCAUAUUUAAACUUUUAUAGGUUUAUUCUUAUAGUUUAUUCUUAUGCCCCGUGGGUCUGAGAGGACUGAAAUUUCAUCUGUGCGGUGUGUUUAACAUGUAUAGCAUAUUUGACAAUAGAGUUGACUUUGACUAUAUUAUGCACACAUUAGUACAUAUGAAAAGCAGUUAUUGUGAACCAAUAACAAAAUCUGCACAUUUGACCUGGAUUGAUCCUUCGACGCAGAGCAUAAAAUAAAAAGUGUGAAAAGUGGCUGCCCAUCUUUCUGUAUGUUUUUGACAAGCAUACAGAAAUCAGAAUUACCGCGUGAUUAGCCUAAUACUCUCCAUACAGGAAAAGUCGCAGUUUAAACUUGACAGUGAGUAAAAAUCCAUUUCUGUGGACAAGAAUUACUAAUGGAAAGGAGUAAAAUGGGGUUUUAGAUAUGUACAGUAGGAGGACUGGUUGUGUUUAAGCCCCCCGCAAAGUCUCCAGCUGGCAGCAUUAUCCGGCCUAUGCACCUGUCAGACAACAGAACACGACAAGAAAUGUACCUUCAUCAAAAGGAGCCAAGCAAAUAUGAGGCAAUCUUCAAAACAUUAGAGACAGAGCCUCUCCAUCCCUCCACCUGCUGGCAUUUAUUCACAGAAAUCACUGAAAAUUAGCCUCACAUUUGGACUCAGCCAGAGUCUUUAAGCAUGUUUAAGACUGUUUGAAUGUGCGCUCAGAUCUAUGCAUGCAGAGUGUGACAGGUCAGUCUGCCGGCUCCACAUGGAGGCCCCUGGGGGUGUUGCAGAGAGUAACCAGGUGUCCGGUGAGGUGCCCACUCAGUAUAACAACCUUCAUCACGGCAACGCCCUCAACAGAUCAAUCUUCCCGUGACACUUCAUUUAGACUGCAUUAAUGUGGAAUUAGGGCCCAUUACGGCUAUUGGCAGGACCUGACAGUCCCUCAGCACAGUGAUCCUCGCUUCCCAGGAGAGACUGCUGCUGAAUUGAGCAGAUAAGGCUUUUCCAGCCCUGCCACAAAGCUGAAGAAGUCAUUAGGUUUUUUCUGCUUCUCAUUCAACCCUGUCAUCAGUAUUGCUAAUCAAAUAAAGGAAUGUGUAAGGGUUUUUUUUUUCUCUGCUCUGCUCUUAACGCUGCAGCUCUUCUUGAAUCAAAGAAACGUAUCAAAGCCUUUUGAAGGGUAGAUUUUAACUCAUACACUUCAUGGGCUGGGAUUUGCUCUUAUAAGUCCGCCUUUUGAAUGGUCAGGUGAUGAUCUGAAAUCGAAAGUUUAAUAGAUGCUUUGGCGCCUUGAAUGGCACUUUUUGGACUGCUUUUUCAGGAGUCAGAUCCAACAAAAUGUCUGUUUCUCCAGUUCGUGUGUUGAUAUUUAUUUCUCAUGGUCUGUGUUUGUAUGUUGUUACAGUAUAUUUAGAAAAUCACAGAGAAAAAGACGUGUGGUUGAGCAUCACUUCCUUCCACUUCCAUGUGUUAAGCAGCCAUCCAUUAGAUCUGGUGCCCAGUAUUAAGCUCUGUGAAUGAGGCUUUCCUUGUAUACAGGCACACUGUAUCUCCACCACACACUCCAAAGCACAUAUGCACGGUCAUGCUUAGUAAACCCCGGGGACAUACUCUGAAAUGACAUUAUGUGGAAGUGUAACGGACAAACAAAAGUGAAAUCCUCUCAGGUGAUACCAUCCAUCACCGUGUUUGCUUUCUGCCAGCCCCCGAAGCACUGAAUCAGUUUGCUAUCAGUGCUUGAGCCUAUAAAAAGGGUCAGAGCCAUGCCAGUCAUGGGGUAGGAGUCAGGUCAGCUUCUCUGCCACCCUCACCCCCGCCUCUUAUGUGUCCCCCACCCCCCACUGUCUCAGCGGAGUUCAUGGCGAGGCCCCCCUCACGCAUCCCUCACUGACCAGGCGGCUGAGAAGCACACAGAUACCCCCUUAAGGAGCUUUGCUCUCCGGAGGAAACUUAAUCUCCUUUUUUAACGCCAUCCCGAGGCUCCUUGCAGGCCCUAAAUAGAGCGGGGGGUGGAGCCGGUUGCAGAGUAUCUCCAAGCCCACAUUGCAGCCCAGCCCAAAUCUGAAUAUCUGAGCUAUGAGGAGCUCCAACGCCAGCACAGGAAUUAGCCCUCCGACAGGCCACGCUAAAUCCCUCUCCUCCUCCCCUCCGCCCGGCUUGCUCCUUCCUCCUCCUCCUCUCUUCUGCAGACACUCCCCAAACUCCCUGUAUGCUUGAUGGGCUUCGUCAGAUUCACACAGGAAAGAGACACACAGAGAUCGUACAGAAAAGUGGACCUGUUAUAAGGGAAUUUUAUGCUCACGUAAAUGAAACAUCUAUUGAGAAGAAUAAUGUUAACCAACGGUGAAAGAUGACAGUUUGGGCCAUAGACCUGAGUUGCUCAGCUGUCGAGAUAGCUGCCAGUAUCUGCACAUCACAGCUUAUUGGUGACACCAGUGGAGACUUAAAAAGUUAAAACUUUAAGUGGUGCUGUCAUGGUAUAUUUUCACCUAACAAUAAAUGUGGCCCAAAAAUCCCAAUAAUGAUAUUAUCACAAUCAUGAUGGAUCAUUUGGAAAAACACAAUGAUAGUGAAAUUUAGUUAAGACAAGACAAGACAAGGGUGGGAGGCACAGUGGUGUAGUGGUUCGCACUGUCACCUCACAGCAAGAAGGUCUUUAGUUCGAAUCUGGCUCAGGGUGUUUCUAUGUGGAGUUUGCAUGUUACUCUGGUUUCCUCCCACAUUUUAAUAACAUGCCUAAGUGGGGUUAGGUUAACUGGCCACUUUCAAAUUGCCCGUAGGUGUGAGUGUGAAUGGUUGUUUGUCUCUGUAUGUCAGCCCUGCGAUGAACUGGCGACUUGUCCAGGGUGUCCCCUGCCUUCGCCUUAAGAUGCUGGGAUAGGCUCCAGCCCCUGCGACCUCGGGAACGGGAAUAAGCGGUAGAAAAUGGAUGGAUGGAUGGAAGACAAGGGUGGAGUGGCAGGCUACUUCUUAAACUUUUCUGACAUGUCACCAUUAAUUUUUGGUGUUAACAGCCCUGUGAUGGGAACUUCUUUGGUGCAAAGAUUGCUUCACAAAAUGAUUAUGAUGCUUUCAUGCUUAACUUCCUGCCUUGCAUCUAUGUUGCUUUAUUUCCUGUAUCUGAAGACAUACUUUUGUUUUGGAAUGAAAUACAUGCGGAACAACGGCAAACGACAACUGACAAUUGUAAACAUGCGCUAACAACGGCUAACAAAAGGCGUCCAUCUUGCGAGGUAACUGGAACGCAGCAUAAGUGGCCACCUUUUGAGGACUGUUACAGCUAGCUAGCUAGCGGCUGCUGCUUCUUUGUCGUUAUUCCAUUCAGUGGUAGGUAGCAACAAGCUUAAAGAAAACUAAAGAAAAAAAGAAAGUGUAAAUGAAAAAAUUAGUACCAGCAUAUUAUAAAAUCUAUUAUUGUGCAUCUCCAAAGUUUACCCUUGCUUUACGCUGGAAGCUCUGAGACCUUAGCUUGUUGGGUCUGGAUAAAGUAGAGAGUUGUUUCAGUCUUCUCAUUAAACUAAAAAGUAAGAAGCAUUUCACUCAUAAUUCAUGCUACUUACAACAAAGUGCGAUAGAACACAGUGCCUCUCACUAACAGGGUUUGUAUGUGAAAGUCCAAGUGUUAUGGUAUUCUUGUGAUUCAGUAUUGCGUUAAAAUCUAAUUAACGCUUGAGUUUUUGCUCCGUCUUCCUUCACUCACAUUCUCAGAGCAUACAGAGGCAGGGCCAACACAGCCAGACAGGCAUCAUUCUUAUGCUUGUAUUGAUUUGAAGCAGAGGAAAGUGCUCCAGGAAACAAUAAGAGACUUUUGCAACUAGUUAUGACUUAUUGUGUACCUUGAUCUGUUUUAAUCGAUAAAGGCCCAAACAGAUCACAGUCCAAUGAGGAUCUGUUGCAUCACUAUGUUUAAUUGUUUUCAUUUCUGAAUUCUUCAAAUACUCUUUCAACCAUUUUACAAAGUUAUCAAACUUUUUGAGGUGGUCAUAAGCAGCAACAAAGAAGAAAACCCUGACAGCAUGUGUCCGUCUGGCUUUUAUCACUUUGUCAGGUCUCACCCAGAUGGCUCCCUUCCUUAAAAAACCAAACUCCACCACUUUCUCUCCCCCUGUCUGCCUCUUUCCCCCCUCGGCCAAAGGGCAGGGGUAAAUAUUAACCCUGACAGACUUGUGUGAAAAUCUCUGAGCCAUUUUAUUUAGAAGGAGGUGUGACAGAUUACCGAAGAAGGGCGGAUUCCUCAGUGGCAAGAGGUAGCGGCUCUCUUUGCCCAAACACUUUGGGACCCGUGCUCUGACAUGCUCCUUUAGCACCCUGUCAGGAGACUAUUCCCAAAGCAAACACACCACCGAAGCUUUCUCUCUGCGAGGCGGGGCCCUCAUAAACUCCCUGAAAAGGACUUAGAGUGCUGAGGAGCCACAAGAAAACAAGAUGUGGGGAAACCAAACAGACCUUACAAAGCCUCGGACAUGGUGUCUUUAGUCAACUUAACCGGGGUCUGGUGUUCACUUUGACGACUAAAAGGAAAGGCAAAUUUUAGCUCCGUUUUAUCUCAGCUGGUCCAAACAUAGACUAGAGUUGUAUUUCAUGCUGAAUGUGCCAAAGUGAUAGCAGGAGAAGGAGAGAAAAUCUGAGCAUAUAAGAGCACUUUUCAGUCUGAUCUUGAUUCAUAUAAAAACCUGUUUAUUCUCCAUGAUUCUGUUUUUGGUUUGAAAGCCUACACCUUGAAAUACAUUUAAGAUGUACUUUUCACACUAAGUCAUGAUAUAUAAAUGCACAAGAACAUAGCUGUGGUACAAAAGGAGUCGUUGUGUAAGAAGACAUCAAGAUUUAGAGACAGAUCCCCGUCCUUUAAGGGUUUCAGGCUGUAAAUUUAACAGGUUUUGAAUGCAAACCUCUGAGCAGCGCAGUGAUCCAGACCUGGACCCCAGAAGAGUCAUUAUGAUCAUGGUGUGAGAUUCUACCACAGACAUGAUAAUACAGUUCACUCACUGGCUUAGGAGAGUCAUGAAGUAUAUAAGGAAUUUAAAAGUGGACAGUUGUUAAACCACACCAUACUUUAAAAUUUUCUUCAGACUGGUCAGAACAACCUGUACUGAGUCAUCCUGCUACCACAGUGUUCCCACAUUAUCAUUGAGUUAACACGCUCACAUAUCAAAUGGGACCAAUUUGAUGAGGGCUAACAAAUAAACCCAGAUAGACUCCCAUCUUCAGAUGUGGGAAAGAAUAAUGGUGGCUUUCUGCUCUCUGCUAGCUAAGAGACUGAUAUUACUGAAAUGGAGAGACCCAAUACCUCCAACAUACAGUCAUCGGGUUAGGGAAAUCAUGUACCAUAUCAAGUUGGAGAAGAUCAGAUACAGAUCAGUGGGUCCACUAGAAAAUUUUAUAACAUUUGGCAGCCUUUCUUAAUGUUUGUUGAAGAUAUGGAGGCAGACGGUAUAGUUCUGUAAACCUCUGCUUUUGUCCUCAGUCAUUAUCAUUAUUAUUAUAUUUCCCUGUUGUUAUCUGGCUAUGUGAAUUCUGUAUUUUGAACUAUGUAUUUCAUUCUGUGAAUUACGUAAGUCUAGUGUUUGUGGGGGGUGGAUGAGAUUUACGGUCCUGUUCUGUUGGACUUUAGUUAAAUUGUAAAUUAUAAUUUGUAUAACUGAAUAAAAAAAGACACUGACCAAAAAAAAUUUAAAAAUAAAGCUAACACAUAAAAAACAAUAUUUACUCUUUUAGUAGCUGUUUUGGUCUCCAACCACUUCCAUAAUGCAACAAGCUGGCUCUCAGUUUUAACCAGUCCAGUUUAUUGAAGCAGCAGAGGAGCUGAUUACACAUUUGCCAUAAAAUGCUAACUCUAACAGCCCAACUCUCUUCAUAUCAUUUUCCUUGGGUUAGUCCUGUGUGUGAAUGCUCUCAGAGACAAAACUCUAUUACCUUUGGAGUAGGAACCGGGUCAAACACUUAGAAUUAAUUAACAGGUGUUGGUUUUGAGUAUAAGAAAGGGUUCACCAGGUUGUACGGGUUGUAUGGAGUGAUGAUGAAGGGCGAGUUCAAAUGUGGCUAAAUAGAAAGUGAGUUCUCAAUUUGAAGAUGGACCCUAAUGAGUGGAUUCCUCUGGGGGUAAGAGGGAUCACACUUUCUUUUAUUGAAAAAAAAAAAGAGCCAAAUGGAUCAUCCAUUUAUUCAUCAUGUAUGGGAUCAUCUUAAUUGGAAUUCAAUUUAGCUCUGUGAAAGUGUGUGUGUGUGUGUGUGUGUGUGUGUGUGUGUGUGUGUGUGUGUGUGUGUGUGUGUGUGUGUGUGUGUGUGCAAUCACAGAACAGAUUGGACCCUCUUUUAAAUUUGCUGUGCCUGAUGGGCUCUGAAAUACAUUUCUCUUGAGCCCUGAGCAGACUUAGACACACUUGUCACAUAAUCAAAUGUGAAAUACAAAGUGGUGUGUGGUGAAAGAGGCCAGGACUUUAUUUCAGGGGAAAUAAUUUACUUUUUUUCUCUCCUCUCCAGCCUGGUGCUUUCAUGUCAUUUAGAUGAGUGGUUAAUAAGGCAGAGCGUUAAGAGGAUUAUGAUCUGGUUGGGCCAUGAUGGUGGUGGUGGUGGUGGUGGUCUGGGGGGGAGGGAGAGUAGGAGCAUCAGAGGCAGUGAGAUAUGGGGGAGCGUACAGUCAGCUGGUACAAUACUGGGCAGGAGGAGAGCAUCCUCCUCACUGUCAAGAUUCAUUUAGUCAGAACUAAGCACCCCGAGAGGCCUGAGCUCAUAUCUUCUCCCUCUUCUUUGGGGCAGGGGGGAUUUUCUUUAAAGACUCUCUAUCUCUCUUUCUGUGCUAAUGAAGACCCUCAAAGUGGUCCAAUAGGAGGAGUUAUAGGUAUUGGUUAGCCAAUAAAGAGGGGAGAGCCAGUUUGGGGGAAUGAGGGAGUUUCAUUUGAAAGAUUUUGAGGGUCCUGUGUGCCUGGAAUCCAAAGAUAGAGCUUAAAGAAGAAAAGCUUUGAAAAACUUACACUUUUUGUCAGUCCAGAGUGGCUUCCUUAAGGGGAAAGGAAGAUAUUUGGGUAAAGUCUCUAACAGGUAUAGCAGACUUCACCUGGGAAUCAUCUUCUUGAUGUGCUCUUGGAGGAAGUCGGCAGAUGGACGGGACUUGACGCAGUAUCUCUCUGUAUGAAAGCCGCUUCUUUGCUGGGGAGUCUCUCCGACACAGACACAGAUUCCCACCACUGCUGGGCUGCUGCCAUUGGCCAAUGUCCUCCAAUGCCUUCUCGGAGUGAGGCACUUUGCAAGAGCCCAUUUCAUGAAAUCUCCAUGGAAGACACAAGCCCCCUCCUCUAACGCAUGCACACACACUCCCACCCCUCCCUCCUCAAUCCACUCUCCCCCUACACAACCUCCCACCCCACCCUGCGACUCACAGCGCCCGGCACCAGGCUUCUUAAAUGCAUCUUUAAUUCAGCAACUUUGAAGUGGCACUCCGGCAAAUGCACUCAAUCAAUUAUAAAUGAAAUAAUCUCCUUAUGAUAUUAGAGAUUUUUAAAGUCUAAGAAAUACUGGGAGAUUAGGGAGCCCAAAUCAGUUUUAGCGGUAUCUAAAGUGACAGCAGGAGAAUCAUUGGAAGGAGCGGGUAGAAACUUAAAAUGAUUAUGUAGAUCUGUGUCACUGCCGAAUGUUUCUGCAAAUCCCUGCUGGAUCUACCGCAACGAAGGAAACAGAUUAUUCCUGGCCUUAUUUAAAGGGUUGGAUUUCUUAAGUGGCUUUUUAAAAGGAAACAUUUAUAUAUAUUUACACAUAUAUUUACCGCUCCUCUCUCUCUCUCUCUCUCUCUCUCUCUCUCUCUCUCUCUCUCUCUCGUUCUCAGCAUCUCCACAGCUGCUCUUGAAGCUCCUCACCACCACAUUUCAUCCAUCAGGUCAGCCCGCGCUGUCACAUGUGCAUG